GUCUUAUUGAUUAUAAUUUUAAGUCUGAUCUGCCCAGUGAUUUAUUAAAUGGCUGCAGUAUUUUAACUGUACAAAGGUAGCAUAAUAAUUAGUUUCUUAAUUAGAAACUGGAAUGAAAGAUUGAACGAGACAAUAACUGUCUUAAUUUAAAUUUAAGAAUUUUAUUUUUAAGUUAAAAAGCUUAAAUUUUCUUAAAAGACGAGAAGACCCUAUAGAAUUUUAUAUUAUUAUUUUAUUUAAAUUAUAGUAUAUAAAUUUUAAAUUUUUAUAAGAGUAUUUAAUUGGGGUGAUUAAAAAAUUUGUUUAACUUUUUUUAUCUAUUUACAUUAAUAUAUGAGUACUUGAUCCAAUAUUUUUGAUUAUAAGAUUAAAUUACCUUAGGGAUAACAGCGUAAUUUUUUUAGAGAGUUCUUAUCGAUAAAAGAGAUUGCGACCUCGAUGUUGGAUUAAAGUUAAUUUUUAAUGUAGAAGUUAAAAUAUUAGGUCUGUUCGACCUUUAAAACUUUACAUGAUCUGAGUUUAAAUCGGCGUGAGCCAGGUUGGAUUCUAUCUUUAAAAUGGUUUAAUAUUUUAGUACGAAAGGACCAAAUAUUAUUUAUAUUAAAUUUUAUAGAAUAA
rnacentral:rRNA from 1 species